AGCCAUACUUGCAAGUUCUUUGCAUUUCCAAGCGAUAAAAAUGAAAAGGACCAAUACAAACCAUGGAUCCGUCUGAUAAGGAGGAAAGACAGGGAGCCAAGUAAACAUUCCAGAGUGUGCAGUUGUCAUUUCAUAGAUGGAAAUAAACUAUAUGGGCCCACAAUUUACGAAAGACAUCGUGAUAAGAUAUUUCCUAGUGAAGGAGGACCAC